CUACGGGAUGCACCAGUAGGGAAUAUUGCCCAAUGGACGAAAGUCUGAGGCAGCAACGCCGCGUGCGCGAUGAAGGCCUUCGGGUUGUAAAGCGCUUUUACGAGGGAAGAGAAAGGACGGUACCUCGUGAAUAAGGAUCGGCUAACUACGUGCCAGCAGCCGCGGUAACACGUAGGAUUCGAACGUUAUCCGGAUUUACUGGGCGUAAAGCGCGUGCAGGCGGUUUGGUAAGUUGGAUGUGAAAGCUCCAGGCUCAACCUGGAGAGGUCGUUCAAUACUGCCAGACUAGAGGACGGUAGAGGGAGGUGGAAUUCCGGGUGUAGUGGUGAAAUGCGUAGAUAUCCGGAGGAACACCAGUGGCGAAGGCGGCCUCCUGGGCCGUUCCUGACGCUCAGACGCGAAAGCUAGGGUAGCGAACGGGAUUAGAUACCCGAGUAGUC
rnacentral:rRNA from 1 species